AGAUGAUCUCAAAAAAAAGAGUAUCAAUGGAAAGACAAAGAAAUCCUCUACAACUUUCAUGUUGAGCAUUUUUAGACAUUUGGGGCACAUUAAUGUUAGAAAAUAAAAAAGGACCUA